rnacentral:rRNA from 1 species
UUAGAGUUUGAUCCUGGCUCAGGAUGAACGCUAGCGACAGGCUUAACACAUGCAAGUCGAGGGGCAGCAGGGGAGUAGCAAUACUCCCGCUGGCGACCGGCGCACGGGUGAGUAACACGUAUGCAACCUGCCCUUGUCAGGGGGAUAAGCGGAAGAAAUUCCGUCUAAUACCGCAUAAUGCUGCGGGGAGACAUCUCCCUGCAGCCAAAGAUUUAUCGGACAAGGAUGGGCACGCGGCGCAUUAGCUGGUUGGCGGGGUAACGGCCCACCAAGGCGACGAUGCGUAGGGGUUCUGAGAGGAAGGUCCCCCACACUGGUACUGAGACACGGACCAGACUCCUACGGGAGGCAGCAGUGAGGAAUAUUGGUCAAUGGCCGGGAGGCUGAACCAGCCAAGUCGCGUGAGGGAAGACGGUCCUAUGGAUUGUAAACCUCUUUUGUCAGGGAGCAAAAACUGCCACGCGUGGCAGGAUGAGAGUACCUGAAGAAAAAGCAUCGGCUAACUCCGUGCCAGCAGCCGCGGUAAUACGGAGGAUGCGAGCGUUAUCCGGAUUUAUUGGGUUUAAAGGGUGCGUAGGCGGUCGGAUAAGUUAGAGGUGAAAUCCCGGGGCUCAACUCCGGAAUUGCCUCUGAUACUGUUCGGCUAGAGAGUAGUUGCGGUAGGCGGAAUGUAUGGUGUAGCGGUGAAAUGCUUAGAGAUCAUACAGAACACCGAUUGCGAAGGCAGCUUACCAAGCUACAUCUGACGUUGAGGCACGAAAGCGUGGGGAGCAAACAGGAUUAGAUACCCUGGUAGUCCACGCGGUAAACGAUGAUAAGUCGUUGUCGGCGAUACAAUGUCGGUGACUAAGCGAAAGCGAUAAGUUAUCCACCUGGGGAGUACGUUCGCAAGAAUGAAACUCAAAGGAAUUGACGGGGGCCCGCACAGGCGGAGGAACAUGUGGUUUAAUUCGAUGAUACGCGAGGAACCUUACCCGGGCUUGAAAGUUACUGACGCUUCUGGAAACAGGAGUUCCCUUCGGGGCAGGAAACUAGGUGCUGCAUGGUUGUCGUCAGCUCGUGCCGCGAGGUGUCGGGUUAAGUCCCAUAACGAGCGCAACCCCUACCGUUAGUUGCCAUCAGGUAAAGCUGGGCACUCUGGCGGGACUGCCGGUGUAAGCCGAGAGGAAGGUGGGGAUGACGUCAAAUCAUCAUGCCCCUUAUGGGCUGGGCUACACACGUGCUACAAUGGCGCCAACAGAGUGAGGCAAACCUGCGAGGGGGAGCAAAGCACAAAAAAGGCGUCCCAGUUCGGAUUACAGCCUGCAACCCGGCUGUAUGAAGCUGGAAUCGCUAGUAAUCGCAGAUCAGAAUGCUGCGGUGAAUACGUUCCCGGGUCUUGCACUCACCGCCCGUCA